GGGGCCGAGCCGCUAAAGUUUAGGCCCGAAAGGUUUUUGGCAGGAGGAGAGAAGGCAAAUGUUGAUGUUAGGGGAAAUGAUUUUGAGCUAAUACCAUUUGGUGCUGGACGCAGAAUAUGUGCAGGAAUGAACUUGGGGUUAAGGAUGGUUCACUUGCUAAUAGCAACUCUAGCCCAUGCAUUUGAAUGGGAAUUGGCAGAUGGGUUGAUCCCUGAGAAAUUGAACAUGGAAGAAGCUUAUGGGCUAACCUUGCAGAGGGCUGUGCCCAUGAUGGUGCACCCAAGGCCUAGGCUAGCCUCCAUUGCUUUUAAUACUGCAUAGGAAUUAGGACACCUCCCACCUCUCUCUUGAUAGAAUCGAGUUCUAUUUGUCCCAUGAAACGCUGAUGUAUAUCAGUAUUUUAGUUCUAAAUUAAUAA
rnacentral:misc_RNA from 1 species